CUCGCCUACAUGAAGCUGGAGUUACUAGUAAUCGCAGAUCAGAAUGCUGCGGUGAAUGCGUUCCCGGGUCUUGUACACACCGCCCGUCACACCACGGAAGUUGGGGGCGCCCGAAGCCACUUAGCUAACCCUUUUGGGAAGCGAGUGUCGAAGGUGAAAUCAAUAACUGGGGGUGAAGUCGUAACAAGGUACC
rnacentral:rRNA from 1 species